rnacentral:rRNA from 1 species
GACGAACGCUGGCGGCGUGCUUAACACAUGCAAGUCGAACGGAAAGGCCCCUUUGGGGGUACUCGAGUGGCGAACGGGUGAGUAACCCGUGAGUAACCUGCCCUUGACUUCGGGAUAACUUCAGGAAACUGGGGCUAAUACCGGAUAGGAAUCCUUGCUGCAUGGUGGGGGUUGGAAAGCUUCGGCGGUUUUGGAUGGACUCGCGGCUUAUCAGCUUGUUGGUGGGGUAGUGGCUUACCAAGGCUUUGACGGGUAGCCGGCCUGAGAGGGCGACCGGCCACAUUGGGACUGAGAUACGGCCCAGACUCCUACGGGAGGCAGCAGUGGGGAAUAUUGCACAAUGGGCGGAAGCCUGAUGCAGCAACGCCGCGUGCGGGAUGACGGCCUUCGGGUUGUAAACCGCUUUCAGCAGGGGCGAAGCUUGUGGUGACGGUACCUGCAGAAGAAGCACCGGCUAACUACGUG